rnacentral:rRNA from 1 species
CCUACGGGGGGCAGCAGUGGGGAAUAUUGGGCAAUGGGCGCAAGCCUGACCCAGCAACGCCGCGUGAAGGAAGAAGGCUUUCGGGUUGUAAACUUCUUUUCUCAGGGACGAAGCAAGUGACGGUACCUGAGGAAUAAGCCACGGCUACCUACGUGCCAGCAGCCUCGGUAAUACGUAGGUGGCAAGCGUUAUCCGGAUUUACUGGGUGUAAAGGGCGUGUAGGCGGGGAAGCAAGUCAGAUGUGAAAACCAUGGGCUCAACCUGUGGCCUGCAUUUGAAACUGUUUUUCUUGAGUACUGGAGAGGCAGACGGAAUUCCUAGUGUAGCGGUGAAAUGCGUAGAGAUUAGGAGGAACACCAGUGGCGAAGGCGGUCUGCUGGACAGCAACUGACGCUGAGGCGCGAAAGCGUGGGGAGCAAACAGGAUUAGAUACCCGGGUAGUC